rnacentral:rRNA from 1 species
UACAGAGGGGGCAAGCGUUGUUCGGAAUUACUGGGCGUAAAGGGCGCGUAGGCGGCCCGCUAAGUCGAACGUGAAAUCCCCGGGCUCAACCCGGGAACUGCGUCCGAUACUGGUGGGCUUGAAUCCGGGAGAGGGAUGCGGAAUUCCAGGUGUAGCGGUGAAAUGCGUAGAUAUCUGGAGGAACACCGAUUGCGAAGGCAGCUCGCUGGAACGUUACUGACGCUGAGACGCGAAAGCGUGGGGAGCAAACAGG